GAGGAAUAUUGGUCAAUGGGCGAGAGCCUGAACCAGCCAAGUAGCGUGCAGGACGACGGCCCUAUGGGUUGUAAACUGCUUUUGUAUGGGGAUAAAGUCAAUCACGUGUGAUUGUUUGCAGGUACCAUACGAAUAAGGACCGGCUAAUUCCGUGCCAGCAGCCGCGGUAAUACGGAAGGUCCGGGCGUUAUCCGGAUUUAUUGGGUUUAAAGGGAGCGUAGGCUGGAGAUUAAGUGUGUUGUGAAAUGUAGACGCUCAACGUCUGACUUGCAGCGCAUACUGGUUUCCUUGAGUACGCACAACGUUGGCGGAAUUCGUCGUGUAGCGGUGAAAUGCUUAGAUAUGACGAAGAACUCCGAUUGCGAAGGCAGCUGACGGGAGCGCAACUGACGCUGAAGCUCGAAGGUGCGGGUAUCGAACAGGAUUAGAUACCCUGGUAGUCCGCACAGUAAACGAUGGAUGCCCGCUGUUGGUACUUGGUAUCAGCGGCUAAGCGAAAGCAUUAGGCAUCCCACCUGGGGAGUACGCCGGCAACGGUG
rnacentral:rRNA from 1 species